CGAGCUCGGGCUGAACUGGCC
rnacentral:miRNA from 1 species